UGGACAGAUUAUUGUAUUCGACUGUAUUCACAGCGUGAAAUAGGGGAUUACACUGUUUUUAAAACGAAAAGUGAAUCAAUUAACAUAAUAGACUCCU
rnacentral:pre_miRNA from 1 species